CUACGGGCGGCACCAGUGGGGAAUAUUGCACAAUGGGCGCAAGCCUGAUGCAGCCAUGCCGCGUGUAUGAAGAAGGCCUUCGGGUUGUUAAGUACUUUCAGCGGGGAGGAAGGGAGUAAAGUUAAUACCUUUGCUCAUUGACGUUACCCGCAGAAGAAGCACCGGCUAACUCCGUGCCAGCAGCCGCGGUAAUACGGAGGGUGCAAGCGUUAAUCGGGAUUACUGGGCGUAAAGCGCACGCAGGCGGUUUGUUAAGUCAGAUGUGAAAUCCCCGGGCUCAACCUGGGAACUGCAUCUGAUACUGGCAAGCUUGAGUCUCGUAGAGGGGGGUAGAAUUCCAGGUGUAGCGGUGAAAUGCGUAGAGAUCUGGAGGAAUACCGGUGGCGAAGGCGGCCCCCUGGACGAAGACUGACGCUCAGGUGCGAAAGCGUGGGGAGCAAACAGGAUUAGAUACCCCCGUAGUC
rnacentral:rRNA from 1 species